rnacentral:piRNA from 1 species
UAUUCUGGUCCUGACUCUCUGUCAUAAGA